rnacentral:rRNA from 1 species
GAUGAACGCUAGCUACAGGCUUAACACAUGCAAGUCGAGGGGAAACGAUAUUGGAAGCUUGCUUCCGAUAGGCGUCGACCGGCGCACGGGUGAGUAACGCGUAUCCAACCUGCCCACCACUUGGGAAUAACCUUGCGAAAGUAAGACUAAUGCCCAAUGAUAUCUCUAGAAGACAUCUGAAAGAGAUUAAAGAUUUAUCGGUGAUGGAUGGGGAUGCGUCUGAUUAGCUUGUUGGCGGGGUAACGGCCCACCAAGGCGACGAUCAGUAGGGGUUCUGAGAGGAAGGUCCCCCACAUUGGAACUGAGACACGGUCCAAACUCCUACGGGAGGCAGCAGUGAGGAAUAUUGGUCAAUGGGCGAGAGCCUGAACCAGCCAAGUAGCGUGCAGGAUGACGGCCCUAUGGGUUGUAAACUGCUUUUAUAAGGGAAUAAAGUGAGCCUCGUGAGGCUUUUUGCAUGUACCUUAUGAAUAAGGACCGGCUAAUUCCGUGCCAGCCGCCGCCGUAA